AUAGUCAAGGUGUGCGCAGCAUGAGAUAUUACUGGAGUCGGGAAGUCAGGAGCGUUGAAGAAUAGGACAAUUAUUCGCAAAGAAACCGAGGAGAUGGUUUAUGCUAAAUUACUGCACAACCGGCAGAUUGACCUUCAUAUCAAACAAAGAACUUC